UCGCUGGACAAGGUCCAGCUGCCCACCGCAAGCAUGUUGUUGCUCUGCUUUUGAAAACGACACAGAGAGUUGGAGGAGAAGAAAUCAUACUUCCUAGUACAUGUAUCUACUCGAGAACUGCAGUCAUUCCAUACUGGCCCUAUUUCUGAACCCCUCUUGAAGUUCAAGAUUCGGAUUCCUGAGAUCAAAAUACAUAAGGAUAGCAUGAGGAGCCCUUCACAAAAAA
rnacentral:misc_RNA from 1 species